GAUGAACGCUAGCGGCAUGCCUAACACAUGCAAGUCGAGGGAUAAGCCUUCGGUCUAGGGCCGUCGCACGGGUGCGUAACGCUUAUACAAUCUUCCGUUUAUCCGGGUGAUAUCCCGAAGAAAUUUAGAUUAAUACCCUAUGUUAUAAGAGCACGGCAUCGUGCACUUAUGAAGGCUACGACGGUAAGAGAUGAGGAUGCGUUCUAUUAGCUAGUUGGUGAGGUACCGGCUCCCCAAGGCGACGAUGGAUAGGGGUUCUGAGAGGGAUGUCCCCCACAGUGGUACCGGGAUAAGGACCAGACUCCUACGGGAGGCAGUAGUGAGGAAUAUUGGACAAUGGUAGGAAGCAUGAUCCAGCGAUGCCGGGUGCAGGAUGACGGCCUUAUGGGUUGUAAACUGCUUUUGUAAGGGAAGAAUAAGGUGUACGUGUACUUUGAUGACGGUAACUUACGAAUAAGCACCGGCUAACUCCGUG
rnacentral:rRNA from 1 species